UACGGGGGGAGCAAGCGUUGUUCGGAUUUACUGGGCGUAAAGGGCGCGUAGGCGGUCGUGACAAGUCACUUGUGAAAUCUCCGGGCUUAACUCGGAACGGUCAAGUGAUACUGUCGGACUAGAGUACAGAAGGGGCAACGUGGAAUUCUCGGGUGUAGCGGUGAAAUGCGUAGAUAUCAGGAGGAAUACCGAUGGCGAAGGCAGGUCUCUGGGCUAUAACUGACGCUCAUGCACGAAAGCGUGGGGAGCAAACAGG
rnacentral:rRNA from 1 species